CUCCUAGAUGUUCUGGGCUGCACGCGCACUACACUGAUGGCAAAAACGAGCACUCCCUUUAUGGGGCCUGGUUCGAAAGGACUGGGAAAUCUCCUGAACGGCCAUCGUGACUGGGAUAGAUGAUUGCAAUUAUUUGCCCUGAACGAGGAAUGCCUAGUACAGGUAAUUCAUCAGAUUGCCUGGAUUACGUCCCUGUCAUUUGUACACACCGCCCGUCGUUGCUACCGAUGGUUGUCGAAUAGAGGCGUUGGGAGGCUGUCCUUCGGAACGGCCGAACUCCACCGAUAUUUGACUACUAGAGGAAGCAAAAGUCGUAACA
rnacentral:rRNA from 1 species